UACGAACUGCGCAAACGUUAUUCGGAAUCACUGGGCUUACAGGGUGCGUAGGCGGCGGGGAAAGUAGGGUGUGAAAUGCCUUGGCUCAACCAAGGCACUGCGCUCUAAACUCCCUCGCUCGAGUGAGUCAGGGGUACGCGGAACUUCCGGUGGAGCGGUGAAAUGCGUAGAUAUCGGAAGGAACACCGGUGGCGAAAGCGGCGCGCUGGACCUCUUCUGACGCUGAGGCGCGAAAGCCAGGGGAGCGAACGGG
rnacentral:rRNA from 1 species